GCCUUUUAAUUGUGCAGACACAAAACCAAACCACACAAACCAAACACAGAGAAAUCGAUCACUUCAAAAGCUUCUCUCAAGCUUCAACUUCACACCCUCAUCUCCUUGUUCACAACAACCACACACCUCCACUCCCUCAUUUCCCCUAUCGAGUCAGUCGACCCCCCCCCCCCGGUCUUCUCUUAUACCGCCAGCCACCACCAUCGUUUUGGUGGUGGCGGAUAUCAGCAGCAGCAACACCACCACCACUACAGGUGGCGGCACUGUGGUGGGUGGUGCCGGAGAUAGGUUCAAGCACGAGAGGAGGACCGAGAGAGAGAGGAGUGGCGGAGAAAGAGAGACACCGGGAGAAAAGAGAGCCGCGCCGCCGCUCACGGCGGCGACGAACGCCGGCGACGGCAAGAACGGCGGUGGACGAAGGGGGGCAGUAGCGGCGCUUCGGUUCGUGGUUCAGGUUCACGUUAUGGUGAUGCAGCUCAACAGGAUCUUGGUUUGUCUCAGGCACAGUCGGGAUAGAGUUCGAAUCUCAGGUUCUGGGUCAAAGUUUGGUCAACAGCUUCGGUUCGGCUCCAGUUCAGUCAGACGGCUCGGAUAAACUUCGAGUAGAAUGGGUUUGGUCAACUCAGUCAACAUCUUUCGACGUUUUGACAUAAAGAUUUGGAAUAUUGUAGAAUGCACGCUAGCGAGUCUCAUCUUGGAAACAACAUUACGAAGUCGUAUAUAGCUAGCUUUGCACAGGAAUAUUCAGUAGGGGAUUAAACGAAGUAAACCAGGGGAGAAGAAAGGUAUACCGAUACAAGAGGAGAACGUGAGUUUCUGUCGUAAACUCGUAGCGUUUUUCAGCGAACCCGAUCUCCGGCAAACUUCAAACUCCGGUGACGUGCUCGGUGAACGACUGUGGGAAUGAACGGAGGUUAUUCUGGGGAGCUUCGGUCACUCCGGCGGAACUCCGGUGACUUCCAAGUGAUUCGAAAAGAGUGCGAGAGGUCCGAACAAGGUUCGUAUAUCUCCGGGUUGCGAAAGGGGGUUGUGAGAGGUGUGGGUGUGUCAAGAGGUUGUGAGGGUGUUGGUAUUUAUAAGGUUCGCUCGUCUUGUAAAUUUGGCAACGAAAUCAUGGCUUGUUCAUGAUGGGGUUCAAGAAGGAAACGCGGAAUGUUAAUCAAUUUCGGAAACUCAGGAAAUCGAUCAAAGGAAAGUUGUUGCUGUCUCUCGGCUGGUUGUUUGCUGUCAAUCGGUUGGUGGCGGCAAUUCUUGUUUUUAAAUAUAGUUUCACAUUUGUUUUAACUAUUAAACCUUCGUAUAAGUUUAACUAUAUGGACCAACUGAACAUGUUAACUUAGUAUCAUUAAAACCUAUAUAUUAUAUUAUUUUAGUCCUACAAUUUGAUAUAUUUAAACAAUUGCUUGUGUGUGAGGUUUGAAACCACAUUUUAAUUUAACCUAUUUAUUAUUUAAGAAAUUCGUCAUCUACUGUAUAUAUUUAAAAGUAACACCCUCUGACUUGAAGGGUUAACUAAUUAGCUAGGUUUAACUUGGUUAAUGUAUACUAACUAACUAGAUUACUUUUAUAAAAAAAAAUAAAAUAAAAAUAAAAAAAACAAAAACUAUAAAAAGUUUUAUUUGUAAAUUUAAUUAAUUAAACUAAUGAAUAAUUAAAUCAUAUUGAUAAAAGAAGAUCUUUAGACGGUUAAUUAAUUUGCGAAAAAAAAAUUCCCGAGUUUCAAGGGUUAGGAUCCGAGAUUCAAAACGGGUCGGAUUUUUGGAAUCCAUUUUGACGGAUGUUACAGUCUCCCCUACUUUAGGAGAUUUCGUCCUCGAAAUCUAAGGGGAAAACUGAUUCAAAGGAAGGAAUAGAUGAGACUUUGAUCGUAACGUUUUGUUCAAAGAAAUUGUUUUCAUGAAUGCGUUACAUAGCAUAUAGUUUCACAUAGCAUACAAAAGGUUCAACUAGUUUCACAUAGCAUAAUUAUGAAUUUCAUGUAGUGUAUCAUAGAUAAUGAAAGCAUUGUAAAUUUAGUUUGUUCUCGAGAUAUUGUUAUUAUUUGAUUUAAAUUGCGAAGAUAGUGCAUAUCGUAUCUCCAAGUUUGAAAUAAAAUAAAUGUUCAAAUGUAAAGUAUCAUUGAGAACGAAGAAGAGUUGGUAACUACCUCCGAGGUAAGGAAAUCACCCCUAGCUCAUUGGUUAAGUUGAAAAGUGAGGGGAGCUAAUCAUCAAGGGAAGGAAAUCACUCCUAUCUGGAUGAUAAGCUUCCAUUUUUGGGAAUAUGAGUGGAUUAAAUCUUGUGGUGAUAUUUUGAAUUCAUAGAUAUAGAUUGUGUAUGAAAAGGAUUAGUAUGAUAUGUUUAUGUAUGUAUGUGGCUCGUGUAGGGAGAAUUACUAGAGUAUUGUGCAUCUUUCGUCACCAGAGUGAACGAGGCCGUAAAGUUAUAAUGUGCGCCCCUCGACACCGAGGUGGCCGAGGUCGUAAAGUAUAAAGUGCGCCCCUCGACACCGAGGUGAACGAGGUCGUAAAGUUAUAAUAUGCGCCCCUCCACACCGAGGUGAACGAGGUCGUAAAUGUGCGUCCCUCGACACCGAAGUGACCGAGGUCGUAAAUGUGCGUCCCUCGACACCGAAGUGACCGAGGUCGUAAAUGUUUAACGUGCGUCCCUCGACACGGAAGUGACCGAGGUCGUAAAUGUUUAAUGUGCGUCCCUCGACACCGGAGCGACCGAGGUCGUAAAUGUUUAAUGUGCGUCCCUCGACACCGAAGUGACCGAGGUCGUAAAUGUUUAAUGUGCGUCCCUCGACACUGAAGCGACCGAGGUCAUAAAUGUUUAACGUGCGUCCCUCGACACCGAAGUGACCGAGGUCGUAAAUGUUUAAUGUGCGUCCCUCGACACCGAAGUGACCGAGGUCGUAAAUGUGCGUCCUUCGACACCGAAGUGACCGAGGUCGUAAAUGUUUAAUGUGCGUCCCUCGACACCGAAGUGACCGAGGUCGUAAAUGUUAAAUCAUAUACAUUUUGAGAUAUAACAUAAAAGAGAUUCAAUGCAAAUGUGGAUCGUCACGGAACGUAACAUAAGACUAUUCCAAAGUAAGUCGAAGUCCUUUUCAAAUUAAGGAAACAUGCUUUGGCCUAAUAGACAAAUACUCUCAUCGAGAAGCGACUAACGAUAUUUGUCCUUCCAGUUACUACACGUCCUUAAUCGAUUGGGAAAAUCGAAACUUUGGCGAGAUUGAAAAUCGAAGAGUGGGACUAGUUAACAAGAUGCGAGUUUCACCUCUAACUUGAUAACAUCGUACCCUAACGUGGUUGGUACUUAUCAAAAGAUAAGGGUCCACUAGAGUAUGAAAUGGAAAUUCCCUUCAAGAUUUGGAUAUCACUCCUAACUUAGAGGGUAGAUUUGGUGCAAAAAUUCAAAGUAUAGCUGAGUGAAAGUCAUCACCAAGUGUGGGAAUCACCCCUAUUUUGGUGAGUCAUUUCGAUUGUGUUAUCAGAGUGUCUUCAAAGCCUCCAAGUGUAUUGUGUUAGCCUUAGGAAAGGUAUAUAUAUUAAGAGUCCAAGAGAAUAGAGGGAAGCAAAGAAGAUAGAAAGGAAGUUGUUUUAAGCAACACAUAGUGAAUUAGCUCUUAAACUAUAGACUAGGCAAGACAUUCCUAAUUCCCUAUAGUUAUGGCUCUGAUACCAAUUUGGUAUCAGAGUACUCCUACUGUAGACUAGGGAAAAGUAUAGAAAUUCUACCUAAUUCCCUAUAGUUAUGGCUCUGAUACCAAUCUGUCACACCCCAACCGAUGGCGGAAACAUCGGGAUGAGACGAACAAAUUGCUCAAAACAACAUAACACUAAAUGUGACAAUAUGAAUUAAAUUAUUUUAUUAACACUAGAAAAGUAGUACAAAGUCUCAAAUAUUCAAACAUAAUCUCAAACAAAAAUAAAUUGCUAAUAUGGGUUUCUAAUGCCAUCCUAGCUUGUUUUCUUGAAGCUUGAUAAGUCACCAUUGAUUGCGUUGCGAUUUCUUGAAAAUACGCACGAGUAGAGAUUGGGAAAUCCAAGAGAACGAACAUGAGUAAUUAACCUAGAUAUUUAGAAUAACACAUGAUGAUCUAGUUAAUAAUUAUUCAAAAAUAUGGUUUCUAAUUUUAUUGUUUACAAUUUAAUUAAAUAUCAUAAUAUAAUUUAACUUAUUAUUAACAAUUAAUGUUAAAGAAACUAUAAUAAAAUAGCAUGUUUGGUCUAUGUGGUUUAACAAGGUAGAGACUAAAGGUGAAAAAAAAAAUAACAAGUCACAGGGACUAUCCGGGCAAUUAACUCUAUAAUUAAUUUAGUGAAACCAAUAAUAUAUUUAAUAAAAUCACUAAAUCUUAUAUAGUUGGUUUUGAUUUUAUUUGAAUACAACCUCGACAUCAUCUCCUUCAUUAAUAACCCAACCGAAUAGUAACUUGUCAUCCUUAUCAUUUUAAUAUAACAGAAACAAUAACCACAAUUAUUUAAACUUGUAGUUAAUAUAAUAAAAAAAAGAAUUAGUGUGUAUACUUGACAAAUGUAGUGAAACGAACAUAGGCCUCUUUUCAAGUUUUAAAUCUUUAUAAUAAUCUGCAUGUAGUUAAAUGAUGGAUCUUCUAAUAUAUCAUUUGGCAUUUUAUUUUCUAAAUCUACUACUUCUAAUAAAACAAAAUAAUUUUUAGCCACUUGUCAUAAUCUUAACCUAUUAGUUGACACUUGGCAUUAGACUAAUACCUAUUUUGUUCUAUUGACCGCCAAAACCACAUUCACGCUUCUUUUCUUUUCCUUCUUCUUUCUUUUCCUCACACGCUAUUCUUUCAUCUGCUCCGCUUCAAACCCUAAUAGUCAUCUACUCUCUUUAUGGCGAUU